rnacentral:rRNA from 1 species
AGCGAACGCUGGCGGCAGGCCUAACACAUGCAAGUCGAACGAAGUCUUCGGACUUAGUGGCGGACGGGUGAGUAACACGUGGGAACGUACCUUUUGGUUCGGAACAACUCAGGGAAACUUGAGCUAAUACCGGAUGAGCCCUUAGGGGGAAAGAUUUAUCGCCGAAAGAGCGGCCCGCGUUAGAUUAGCUAGUUGGUGAGGUAAAGGCUCACCAAGGCUACGAUCUAUAGCUGGUCUGAGAGGAUGAUCAGCCACACUGGGACUGAGACGCGGCCCAGACUCCUACGGGAGGCAGCAGUGGGGAAUCUUGCGCAAUGGGCGAAAGCCUGACGCAGCCAUGCCGCGUGAAUGAUGAAGGUCUUAGGAUUGUAAAAUUCUUUUACCAGGGACGAUAAUGACGGUACCUGGAGAAAAAGCCCCGGCUAACUUCGUGCCAGCAGCCGCGGUAA